ACUGUGCCUGGCCCAGAUAAUUCUUACAACACGAGAGCUCUUAGAUGAAAUGUUCAGCCUCCUUCCCUUCUCCAGCUAACUCAUUUUCCUGUGUCAGAGCUCAGCUAAGAAGUCAGUUUCCCUACAGGAAACCUCCCCACCCUCCACACUGCUGAGGGGACCACAUAAUUGCACUACCCUGCCCCACGCUUGCAUAUGUGGCUUAAGACAUUGGAAUCUUUACCUCCAGGACGAUAGGAGAAACUGCUUAAGUGAAAUCUUUCUGCCUAUUUUCCAGUGACUGUGUGAAUUGUACUGGAUGGAAUGGAGAGAAAGGGGUGGGAUCGUGGAGGGUACCUUUGUGGACAAGCAAGAAGAAAAAAGAGAGAUUCCCCAAAGGGGACAAAGGCAAUAAAGCUUGGUAAACCUGGGCAGGGUCCUGGGCCAGCAGAAGGAUCUCAGAGAUGGGACAAAGAGUGUUGAGGGGGCUGGACCCUUUUACAAGGUCUCCAGCCUGGCCAAAGGCUCCUGAUCCCCAAGAGAGGCCAGAAGGUGUCAGAGCUGCUGGCCGUAAAGGGAUCCUGUGGGCCAGGACAUCAGGUACCGCAGUAGAAACCAGAAUAGUGGUGUGAGAUGGUUGAAGGAUGCCUUCCUGACAUUCCAGGGCCGUGUACGGCUCAGCUCUGGGAGGCAGGAGCCCCAGCAGGACUGCGAUAGCAUUUUCUGUGUGUGGGAA